rnacentral:rRNA from 1 species
GCAUAUCAAUAAGCGGAGGAAAAGAAACCAACAGGGAUUGCCCCAGUAACGGCGAGUGAAGCGGCAAUAGCUCAAAUUUGAAAUCUGGCGUUUGUAACGUCCCGAGUUGUAAUUUGGAGAGGCAUCUUCGGGGACAGCGUCAGACCAAGUUCCUUGGAACAGGACGUCACAGAGGGUGAGAAUCCCGUGCCUGCCUGGCCGUCUGAUCCCUAGUGAAGUGCCUUCUACGAGUCGAGUUGUUUGGGAAUGCAGCUCCAAGUGGGUGGUAAAUUUCAUCUAAAGCUAAAUAUGGGCGAGAGACCGAUAGCGCACAAGUAGAGUGAUCGAAAGAUGAAAAGCACUUUGAAAAUAGAGUUAAAAAGUACGUGAAAUUGUUGAAAGGGAAGCGCUUGAGACCAGACCCAGCCCCAAACAAACAGCCUUUCCUGCUUCAGGUGGGUGCACUUGUAUUGAGGCUGGGCCAGCGUCGGUCGGGGUGGUGGGACAAAGGCGUUGGGAAUGUGGCUCCUCUCGAGGAGUGUUAUAGCCCGGCGUGCAAUGCCACCUACCUGGACUGAGGGCCGCGCCUUGGCGAGGAUGCUGGCACAAUGGUCUUCAGCGA